rnacentral:rRNA from 1 species
UACGGGAGGCAGCAGGUGGGGAAUAUUGCACAAUGGGCGAAAGCCUGAUGCAGCUAUGCCGCGUGUAUGAAGAAGGCCUUAGGGUUGUAAAGUACUUUCAUCGGGGAGGAAAAAACAAAACUAAUAAUUUUAUUUCUUGACGUUACCCGAAAAAGAAGCACCGGCUAACUCCGUGCCAGCAGCCGCGGUAAUACGGAGGGUGCUAGCGUUAAUCAGAAUUACUGGGCGUAAAGAGCACGUAGGUGGUUUUUUUAAAGUCAGAUGUGAAAUCCCUGGGCUUUAACCUAGGAACUGCAUUUUGAAACUGAAAUACUAGAGUAUCGUAGAGGGAGGUAGAAUUCUAGGUGUAGCGGUGAAAUGCGUAGAUAUCUGGAGGAAUACCUGUGGCGAAAGCGGCCUCCUAAACGAAUACUGACACUGAGGGUGCGAAAGCGUGGGGAGCAAACAGGGAUUAGAUACC